UACAGAGGUCUCAAGCGUUGUUCGGAUUCAUUGGGCGUAAAGGGUGCGUAGGUGGCGCGUUAAGUCAGGUGUGAAAUUUCGGAGCUUAACUCCGAAACUGCAUUUGAUACUGGCGUGCUUGAGGACUGGAGAGGAGACUGGAAUUUACGGUGUAGCGGUGAAAUGCGUAGAUAUCGUAAGGAAGACCAGUGGCGAAGGCGGGUCUCUGGACAGUUCCUGACGCUGAGGCACGAAGGCCAGGGGAGCAAACGGG
rnacentral:rRNA from 1 species